UACGUAGGGUGCAAGCGUUGUCCGGAAUUAUUGGGCGUAAAGAGCUCGUAGGCGGUCUGUCGCGUCGGCUGUGAAAACUCGGGGCUCAACCCCGAGCCUGCAGUCGAUACGGGCAGACUAGAGUGCGGUAGGGGAGACUGGAAUUCCUGGUGUAGCGGUGAAAUGCGCAGAUAUCAGGAGGAACACCGGUGGCGAAGGCGGGUCUCUGGGCCGUAACUGACGCUGAGGAGCGAAAGCGUGGGGAGCAAACAAG
rnacentral:rRNA from 1 species